CAGCCGCCGCGGUAAUACGUAGGUGGCAAGCGUUGUCCGGAAUUAUUGGGCGUAAAGGGCUCGCAGGCGGUUUCUUAAGUCUGAUGUGAAAGCCCCCGGCUCAACCGGGGAGGGUCAUUGGAAACUGGGAAACUUGAGUGCAGAAGAGGAGAGUGGAAUUCCACGUGUAGCGGUGAAAUGCGUAGAGAUGUGGAGGAACACCAGUGGCGAGGGCGACUCUCUGGUCUGUAACUGACGCUGAGGAGCGAAAGCGUGGGGAGCGAACAGGAUUAGAUACCCCGGUAGUCCCUGUCUCUUAUAC
rnacentral:rRNA from 1 species